rnacentral:rRNA from 1 species
CUCUGCUUGCAGAGUGCGGAUGAGUGGCGAACGGGUGAGUAACACGUGGGAAAUCUGCCUAGGAGUGGGGGAUAACAUUCGGAAACGAAUGCUAAUACCGCAUAUCUUUUUUGAACCGCAUGGUUCUUAAACGAAAGACGGCUUCGGCUGUCGCUCUUAGAUGAUCCCGCGGCGUAUUAGUUAGUUGGUGGGGUAAAGGCCUACCAAGACCAUGAUACGUAGCCGACCUGAGAGGGUGAUCGGCCACACUGGGACUGAGACACGGCCCAGACUCCUACGGGAGGCAGCAGUAGGGAAUCUUCCACAAUGGGUGAAAACCUGAUGGAGCAAUGCCGCGUGAAUGAAGAAGGUCUUCGGAUCGUAAAGUUCUGUUAUUAGAGAAGAACAAGUCAAGGAGUAACUGUCUUGACUUUGACGGUACCUAACCAGAAAGUCACGGCUAACUACGUGCCAGCAGCCGCGGUAAUACGUAGGUGACAAGCGUUGUCCGGAAUUAUUGGGCGUAAAGGGAGCGCAGGCGGUUGGAAUAGUCUGAUGUGAAAGCCCACGGCUUAACCGUGGAAGGUCAUUGGAAACUGUCCAACUUGAAUACAGAAGAGGUAAGUGGAAUUCCAAGUGUAGCGGUGAAAUGCGUAGAUAUUUGGAGGAACACCAGUGGCGAAGGCGACUUACUGGUCUGUAAUUGACGCUGAGGCUCGAAAGCGUGGGUAGCAAACAGGAUUAGAUACCCUGGUAGUCCACGCCGUAAACGAUGAGUGCUAAGUGUUAGGGGGUUUCCGCCCCUUAGUGCUGGAGUUAACGC